rnacentral:rRNA from 1 species
UACGGGGGGGGUAAGCGUUGUUCGGAAUUACUGGGCGUAAAGGGCUCGUAGGCGGCCAACUAAGUCAGACGUGAAAUCCCUCAGCUUAACUGGGGAACUGCGUCUGAUACUGGAUGGCUUGGAUUCGGGAGAGGAAUGCGGAAUUCCAGGUGUAGCGGUGAAAUGCGUUGAUAUCCUAAGGAACACCGGUGGCGAAAGCGACGUACUGGACCUCUUCUGACGCUGAGGCGCGAAAGCUAGGGGAGCGAACGGG